rnacentral:rRNA from 1 species
AAUCAACGCUGGCGGCGUGCCUAACACAUGCAAGUCGAACGCGAAAGUCCCGCAAGGGAUGAGUAGAGUGGCAAACGGGUGAGUAACACGUGGGUGACCUGCCUUCGAGCGGGGGAUAACGUACCCGAAAGGGACGCUAAUACCGCAUGACAUCCUGCCUUUGAAGAGGUGGAGAUCAAAGCUGGGGAUCGCAAGACCUAGCACUUGAAGAGGGGCCCGCGUCUGAUUAGCUAGUUGGUGGGGUAACGGCUCACCAAGGCAACGAUCAGUAUCCGGCCUGAGAGGGCGGACGGACACACUGGGACUGAGACACGGCCCAGACUCCUACGGGAGGCAGCAGUGGGGAAUUGUUCGCAAUGGGCGCAAGCCUGACGACGCAACGCCGCGUGGAGGAUGAAGACC